AAUUUCAUUUAUUUGAUCAACGGAUUAUGGGUGUGAAUAUUUGACAGCAGAUCGUGAGGUCCUUCCCAUUAAGCUUCUCCCAUAGUCGCAGGUAAAGAGAAGGAAGGAGCUGUGGAGUGAGCAGCGUGAAGCAGUGGUAGAUAUAGCUUCGAGUAUAUAUAUUAGGUAUACACUUUUAUAUAUGCAUUUUGAUGUAAAUUAGUCUGUAUGUACAUAACGAUAAAUGAGCAGUUGUAUAAACAAAUUUAUAAUAAUAUUUUGAAGUAUUUUGGCCUG
rnacentral:misc_RNA from 1 species